UAUUGCACAAUGGGGGAAACCCUGAUGCAGCGACGCCGCGUGAGUGAAGAAGUAUCUCGGUACGUAAAGCUCUAUCAGCAGGGAAGAAAAUGACGGUACCUGACUAAGAAGCCCCGGCUAACUACGUGCCAGCAGCCGAGGUAAUCAGUAGGGGGCAAGCGUUAUCCGGAUUUACUGGGUGUAACGGGAGCGUAGGCGGCAGCGCAAGUCUGGAGUGAAAUGCCGGGGCCCAACCCCGGAACUGCUUUGGAAACUGUGCAGCUCGAGUGCAGGAGAGGUAAGCGGAAUUCCUAGUGUAGCGGUGAAAUGCGUAGAUAUUAGGAGGAACACCAGUGGCGAAGGCGGCUUACUGGACUGUAACUGACGUUGAGGCUCGAAAGCGUGGGGAGCAAAC
rnacentral:rRNA from 1 species